UAUUAUAUUAUGUUGAUUAGUUGAUCAGAGUAGUAGUAGUUAAGGGCUUGAAACUCAAAGAAUUUGGCGGUGUUUUAAGUCUUUUUAGAGGAACCUGUUCUGUAAUUGAUGAUACACGAUUGAGAUUACUUUAUUUUGAAUAGUUUGUAUAUCGCCGUUAUAAGAUUAUCCUAAUGAGGGGGUAAAUUUUCUUCGAUUAAGAUUUUAGCUUAUGUCAGGUCAAGGUGCAGUUUAUGGUAAAGUAGAAAUGGGUUACAAUAAUAAUAAUUAAAUGGAAGUUAUAUGGAAAAUUAACUGAAGGUGGAUUUGAUUGUAAAAUUGUUUUAAUUGAUAAUUUGAUUUAAGCUCUGGAACGUGUACAUAUCGCCCGUCGCUCUCGUGGAAAAUGAG
rnacentral:rRNA from 1 species